CCUACGGGAGGCAGCAGUGAGGAAUAUUGGUCAAUGGACGAGAGUCUGAACCAGCCAAGUAGCGUGAAGGAUGACUGCCCUAUGGGUUGUAAACUUCUUUUAUAUGGGAAUAAAAUGUUCCACGUGUGGGAUUUUGUAUGUACCAUAUGAAUAAGGAUCGGCUAACUCCGUGCCAGCAGCCGCGGUAAUACGGAGGAUGCGAGCGUUAUCCGGAUUUAUUGGGUUUAAAGGGUGCGUAGGCGGAAUGCCAAGUCAGCGGUAAAAUCGCGGGGCUCAACCUCGCUCCGCCGUUGAAACUGGCGUUCUUGAGUGGGCGAGAAGUAUGCGGAAUGCGUGGUGUAGCGGUGAAAUGCAUAGAUAUCACGCAGAACUCCGAUUGCGAAGGCAGCAUACCGGCGCCCAACUGACGCUGAAGCACGAAAGCGUGGGUAUCGAACAGGAUUAGAUACCCCAGUAGUC
rnacentral:rRNA from 1 species